rnacentral:rRNA from 1 species
UGGGGAAUAUUGGACAAUGGGCGCAAGCCUGAUCCAGCCAUGCCGCGUGAGUGAUGAAGGCCCUAGGGUUGUAAAGCUCUUUCACCGGUGGAGAUAAUGACGGUAACCGGAGAAGAAGCCCCGGCUAACUUCGUGCCAGCAGCCGCGGUAAUACGAAGGGGGCUAGCGUUGUUCGGAUUUACUGGGCGUAAAGCGCACGUAGGCGGACUUUUAAGUCAGGGGUGAAAUCCCGGGGCUCAACCCCGGAACUGCCUUUGAUACUGGAGGUCUUGAGUAUGGUAGAGGUGAGUGGAAUUCCGAGUGUAGAGGUGAAAUUCGUAGAUAUUCGGAGGAACACCAGUGGCGAAGGCGGCUCACUGGACCAUUACUGACGCUGAGGUGCGAAAGCGUGGGGAGCAAACAGG